rnacentral:rRNA from 1 species
CAGCCGCCGCGGUAAAACGUAGGUGGCAAGCGUUGUCCGGAAUUAUUGGGCGUAAAGGGCUCGCAGGCGGUUUCUUAAGUCUGAUGUGAAAGCCCCCGGCUCAACCGGGGAGGGUCAUUGGAAACUGGGAAACUUGAGUGCAGGAGAGGAGAGUGGAAUUCCACGUGUAGCGGUGAAAUGCGUAGAGAUGUGGAGGAACACCAGUGGCGAAGGCGACUCUCUGGUCUGUAACUGACGCUGAGGAGCGAAAGCGUGGGGAGCGAACAGGAUUAGAUACCCCCGUAGUCCCUGUCUCUUAUAC